ACGUAGGGUGCGAGCGUUAAUCGGAAUUACUGGGCGUAAAGCGUGCGCAGGCGGUUCGUUGUGUCGGUGGUGAAAGCCCCGGGCUUAACCUGGGAAUGGCCAUGGAAACUGGCGAACUGGAGUGUGGCAGAGGGGGGUGGAAUGCCGCGUGUAGCAGUGAAAUGCGUAGAGAUGCGGCGGAACACCGAUGGCGAAGGCAGCCCCCUGGGCUGAGAUUGACGCUCAGGCACGAAAGCGUGGGGAGCAAACAGGA
rnacentral:rRNA from 1 species